rnacentral:rRNA from 1 species
GACGAACGCUGGCGGCGUGCUUAACACAUGCAAGUCGAACGGUGAAGCGCCUUCCUUUUUGGUGGGUGUGGAUGAGUGGCGAACGGGUGAGUAACACGUGAGUAACCUGCCCCCUUCUUCUGGAUAACCGCAUGAAAGUGUGGCUAAUACGGGAUAUUCUGGGUCUGUCGCAUGAUGGGUCUGGGAAAGAUAUUGUUUCGGUGGGGGAUGGGCUCGCGGCCUAUCAGCUUGUUGGUGGGGUGAUGGCCUACCAAGGCGGUGACGGGUAGCCGGCCUGAGAGGGUGGACGGUCACACGGGGACUGAGACACGGCCCAGACUCCUACGGGAGGCAGCAGUGGGGAAUAUUGCACAAUGGGCGCAAGCCUGCUGCAGCGCCGCCGCGUGAGGGAUGGAGGCCUUCGGGUUGUGAACCUCUUUCGCCAGUGAAGCAGGCCUGCCUCGUUUGUGGGUGGGUUGACGGUAGCUGGAUAAGAAGCGCCGGCUAACUACGUG